UACGUAGGGUGCAGGCGUUAAUCGGAAUUACUGGGCGUAAAGCGUGCGCAGGCGGCUUCUCAAGUCAGAUGUGAAAUCCCCGGGCUUAACCUGGGGAACUGCGUUUGAAACUGGGAGGCUAGAGUGCGGCAGAGGGGGGGUGGAAUUCCACGUGUAGCAGUGAAAUGCGUAGAUAUGUGGAGGAACACCGAUGGCGAAGGCAGCCCCCUGGGCCUGCACUGACGCUCAUGCACGAAAGCGUGGGGAGCAACAGG
rnacentral:rRNA from 1 species